GACGGAGGGGGCUAGCGUUGUUCGGAAUUACUGGGCGUAAAGCGUGCGUAGGCGGCCUUUCAAGUUGGGUGUGAAAGCCCGGGGCUUAACCCCGGAAAUGCGCCCAAGACUGUUUGGCUAGAGACCGGGAGAGGUGAGUGGAACUCCCAGUGUAGAGGUGAAAUUCGUAGAUAUUGGGAAGAACACCAGUGGCGAAGGCGGCUCACUGGACCGGUACUGACGCUGAGGCACGAAAGCGUGGGGAGCAAACAGG
rnacentral:rRNA from 2 species